CAUUUAUAUCAACAAUAUCCGAUUUUUAUUCUAAGAAGCAUUAAAAGAUAUUUGUCAAUUGUGCAAGAAAUUAUUGGAAUAAUUGUAAGUGAACUUUCACAUAUUUUUCUGUAACCUUGAAUAACUUUUCGUAAAGAAAUUUUUAAUAAUUCCGGCGAAAACUCGGCCAAAUUUAUAGAAAUAUGGAAAUUAAUUAUAUCAACUACAUUAACAGAAUGUGCAAGCAGCGAUACCCUGGUACAGCAUAAUGCCGCGUCAAGGACAGAAAUACUUUUUUGUUUAACUUUAUGUAUUUUCAUUAAUUAUCCUUUCCCUGCAAUAAAUUAAUACAGUUUUGGAAUUGUAAAAUAAAUAUCAGGUUGCAAGUAAUAUUCUCAAACAAUUUUAGAACUGAAUAUUUAUUUAAUCAGUCACUAAUUAUUAUUGCAGUUGCAGAUUACUGUAUAUCUGCAUGUUAUUUUGCAGAAUCUCUAUAAAAAAAGGUAGAACUUUUAUAUAUAUAUUCAUUGAUCUAUAACAAACAAAUGAAACUAAAAUAAAUAAUUAAUUAGCUAUUAACAAUUAUCGUAACAAGUGGCAUGCCUACUGCGAUACAUAUCCCCGAUUUCUUAGUAAUAUUAAUAUUAAACUUUUAUGCGAAGAUUAAUUUACAUUCCGUGGAGGCUUCUUUAGAACUUGUACUUCAUUCUUCAUACAUAAGAGUUCAUGCAUAAAUUAAUUACGUAUAACGUGAAUUCUGUGAAAAUGCAUGGUCUCACUCUUAUGCAACGACUCCAUGCGAUAAUUGUUAAUGACUAUUUGAACAAAAAUUCCGCUACAAAAUUCUGUGUAAGAAUUCGUUGCGUUGGGAUCUUUAUUACACGACUUUAUUAUACAAUUCCAAAAGUGGACGAAUUCUUUCCUGAAAGAAAAGCAAUUAACGAAUAUUCAAUAAAUUAGAUGGGGAAUUUCCUUGUAUCUGCCCCUGUUGCACAGUAAUGCGCUUCUUGUUUUACACAUGGCAUAAGUCUGUCCUUGUCGAAUAGUAGCGUGCUCCUUAGCUAACACCUCCUUGGAUACCACCUUGCACAUUCCAUUUACUUACAUAUAUAUAUUCUUGUUGCUUUUACGCAAUUCAAGCCAACUCCAAUAGAGGGCAACACCGAAGUGACCAUAGAGAAAGAGGACAGUAUUGUGCGACAAGGACAGACAUACAGUGGCGGUCACAAGAAAGUUUUGAAUUGUGUACACUGUGUAACUUUUAUGCUAACAAUUUUUUACCAUAUUGAUAACAGUCACCUAUUCCAUCGUAUAAUAAUAAUCAGAAACUCUGAUAAUACGUAAAAGUCUAUCAAUGUUCGUAAAUCACAUAAUAAAAUCAGAAAAAACAUCUUGAUAAUGCAAUGUUGCAGAUGUGUAUAGAUUUAAUUAAUUAUUUAAUCGGUUAAAAGUUUGAUAAGACGCUUAAACAAUACCAAACUAUUUACUCUUUCGUACGCUUCGUGUUAAAAUUUCGAAAAGAAAAAUGUUAUGGUAAAAUUCAAAGCACCUCGGAUAAUACGGAACUUCGGUUAAAUGUGCCUCGAAUAACCGAGACCCCACUGUAUAUUUAUUCAUUGCUCUUAUUAAAUAUAAUACCAUUCUGUAAAAUUAUGGUGUAUUUUUAUAUUUCUUAUGGUAUAAAUUUCUUUUCCGCCACUGUAUGUACUCGCGUCAGACAAAGAGAGCGAUAAUGUGUAAUAAGGAUAGCAAUAAUGUUUAGUUCGGUUUUUCACCAUUAUGUGGCGAUAGUGUUUCAAUAUCCUACCCAUAAAUCGAACAAAUUUUCGUUAGUGAAAAAGAUUAAUUAAGAGCAUUAACAUGCGAACUUCUGCAGUUGUAUCUGGCUAAUUGGACCCUCGACUUUCCUUUUUAUGUAAUUUGAACUUCGAUAUACAUUUGUAAGAAAGUAUAUAUUUUUUACGCAAAUAUUCUGCGACGAUACAAUGAACUUACGCAUUAUUUACGUUAUAUCAAAUUGAUUUAUACACUUUUUCGGAUGCAGUACAACGCACGAUUUAAGUUUCUAUAAUCACGUAGAGUUAAACUACACAAAUUUUAUGCGUAUAAUACGUGGACGGAACAAAUGUUUAUAUUAUCCGGUACCAUGGCCCAGGUUUUCGCGCAUGAUUUGCUGGUAAAUUGACCGAGGAUUCCUUCCAAAAAGUAAAAAGGUUUGCCGACAAAGAGUAACACGAUUAUAUAAGACCAACGGAAGCAGCGAUGCAAGCCAUUAGAAAUUCUAGACCACCUCCCCAUUCUGCUCUCUGAGGAAAAGAAGUGAUGUGCAAAUUGGUUUUAUCAUCAUCCAGUGGCGUAAUAUUGGGAUAAGUAGUUAGCAAGUAUAUGUUAAUCAGAAUAAUGAUAGAAGGAGACCUCGAAUGAAAAUCUCAAUAAUUAUAGAUAAAUACUAUUAAAAAUAUUCUGCUUCGCCAAAGGUUCAAUGUUUUAUAUUAGACUGUAAAUGUUUAUUUAUUUGUGAGAAUUGAAAUUAAUACAAGAUUUAAUUUCAGAGAAAA